rnacentral:rRNA from 1 species
UACGAAGGGGGCUAGCGUUGUUCGGAAUCACUGGGCGUAAAGGGCGCGUAGGCGGCUUUAUAAGUCGGGGGUGAAAGCCUGUGGCUCAACCACAGAAUUGCCUUCGAUACUGUAGAGCUUGAGACCGGAAGAGGUUAGUGGAACUGCGAGUGUAGAGGUGAAAUUCGUAGAUAUUCGCAAGAACACCAGUGGCGAAGGCGGCUGACUGGUUCGGUUCUGACGCUAAGGCGCGAAAGCGUGGGUAGCGAACAGG